AUUUCUUGAAGGAAGCACUCCAUCUUCGGUGCGAGCCCCUGCUGCAGGAAGGAAGGCAAAGCCAGACACGGGCACAGGCACAGCAGACUGGGAUGCUGGGAAGGAUUCUCCAUUAGCCUGGCGCUCUGAAGUUGUGAAGCACUCUGAGCAUUCUGCAGGUGUGUCUGCAGGGACGACCUCACCAACUCCUACCUUGGAUGCUGCACAAAAGGCCAGCUCCCAUGGCAGGGGUCCUCUGACAGGAGAGACCAAAGACAUGGCAGGCAGGAAAUUCCAGGACCCAUUAGAAAUCAUGUGGCAAAUGCUGAAGGAACGUCUGCAGAGAAGACAAGAAAUGAAAGGAGAGCCUGCGGAGAAAGAAGCAUUUCCCGGAGGAAGCAGUGGUUGCAUGCCAGCCUCAGCUCCAGGAAGGGAGGCCAUGCCUGGCACAGGCA